rnacentral:rRNA from 1 species
UACGGAGGAUGCAAGCGUUAUCCGGAAUUAUUGGGCGUAAAGCGUCCGCAGGUGGCUAAUCAAGUCUGCUGUUAAAGACAGAAGCUUAACUUCUGAGCAGCGGUGGAAACUGGAGAGCUAGAGUACGGUAGGGGUUGAGGGAAUUCCCAGUGUAGCGGUGAAAUGCGUAGAUAUUGGGAAGAACACCAGUGGCGAAGGCGCUCAACUGGGCCGUAACUGACACUGAGGGACGAAAGCUAGGGG